AGAGUUUGAUCCUGGCUCAGGAUGAACGCUAGCUACAGGCUUAACACAUGCAAGUCGAGGGGAAACGACAUCGAAAGCUUGCUUUUGAUGGGCGUCGACCGGCGCACGGGUGAGUAACGCGUAUCCAACCUGCCCACCACUUGGGGAUAACCUUGCGAAAGUAAGACUAACACCCAAUGACGUCUCUAGAAGACAUCUGAAGGAGAUUAAAGAUUUAUCGGUGAUGGAUGGGGAUGCGUCUGAUUAGCUUGUUGGCGGGGUAACGGCCACCAAGGCGACGAUCAGUAGGGGUUCUGAGAGGAAGGUCCCCCACGAUUGGAACUGAGACACGGUCCAAAAUCCGUACGGGAGGCA
rnacentral:rRNA from 1 species